rnacentral:rRNA from 1 species
CGGGGGAGGCAAGCGUUGUUCGGAAUUACUGGGCGUAAAGGGCUCGUAGGCGGCCAACUAAGUCAGACGUGAAAUCCCCAGGCUCAACCUGGGAACUGCGUCUGAUACUGGGUGGCUUGAAUCCGGGAGAGGGAUGCAGAAUUCCAGGUGUAGCGGUGAAAUGCGUAGAUAUCUGGAGGAAUACCGGUGGCGAAGGCGGCAUCCUGGACCGGCAUUGACGCUGAGGAGCGAAAGCCAGGGGAGCAAACGGGAUUAGAUACCCCGGUAGUCCUGGCCCUAAACGAUGAAUGCUUGGUGUAACGGGUAUCGAUCCCUGUUGUGCCGAAGCUAACGCAUUAAGCAUUCCGCCUGGGGAGUACGGUCGCAAGGCUG